ACAAGCUCUAGCUUGAAACCCAAAGGACUUGACGGUAUCCCACCCAACUAGAGGAGCCUGUUCUAUAAUCGAUAACCCACGAUACACCUAACCAUUUCUUGCUCCCAGUCUGUAUACCUCCGUCGCAAGCUUACUAUCUGAAUAUAUAAUAGUAAGCUAAAAGGCCACCGCCAUAACGUCAGGUCAAGGUGCAACUCACGAAAUGGAAGUAAUGGGCUACAAUUUCUAAUCUAGAACAAACGAAACACUAUAUGAAACAUAGUAAUGAAGGAGGAUUUAGUAGUAAAUAAGGAAUAAAAAACCUUGUUAAACUCGGCUCUGGGAUGUGUACACACC
rnacentral:rRNA from 1 species